rnacentral:rRNA from 1 species
GAUGAACGCUGGCGGCGUGCCUAAUACAUGCAAGUCGAGCGAACAGACGAGGAGCUUGCUCCUCUGACUUUAGCGGCGGACGGGUGAGUAACACGUGGAUAACCUACCUAUAAGACUGGGAUAACUUCGGGAAACCGGAGCUAAUACCGGAUAAUAUAUUGAACCGCAUGGUUCAAUAGUGAAAGACGGUUUUGCUGUCACUUAUAGAUGGAUCCGCGCCGCAUUAGCUAGUUGGUAAGGUAACGGCUUAACAAGGCAACGAUGCGUAGCCGACCUGAGAGGGUGAUCGGCCACACUGGAACUGAGACACGGUCCAGACUCCUACGGGAGGCAGCAGUAGGGACUCUUCCGCAAUGGGCGAAAGCCUGACGGAGCAACGCCGCGUGAGUGAUGAAGGUCUUCGGAUCGUAAAGCUCUGUUAUUAGGGAAGAACAAAUGUGUAAGUAACUAUGCACGUCUUGACGGUACCUAAUCAGAAAGCCACGGCUAACUACGUG